GGGGGUGACCGGUUUCGACUUCGGCAUGUCGUGCCAGGGGAAGCGGGUCGAGGACUGCGGACAUAACCUCGUUAAUCCUGUGACCGCAAAACAAUAAGUGCCAAUAACACGCGCACUCAGGGCCACAUGGCCCUCGCCGCCUGAGCGAGGUCUAGGCCCUUGUCAGCCCGGGAUCGCCUCCGGCCCGGAUCUGGCAUCGCUAGGAGGCUCAACCGCUCGCCCCGGUCACGGGGGCGAUAGGGAAACCUAACAGUGACUGAGCCCGUCGGCGACUCGCCUGCGAGAUCGCCGGGGCCGAGAAAAGCGCUGCAGGCUGCACCCGGAGAAGCCCUGACGCGGUGUUGAAGGACGCGGGUUCGAUUCCCGCCACCUCCAC
rnacentral:tmRNA from 1 species